rnacentral:tRNA from 1 species
GUGGUAGUGUAGCGGUUAAGGAGCUGGGCUAGCACCUGAAAGUCGUGGGUUCAAUUCCCACCUUCCAUA